rnacentral:rRNA from 1 species
GACGAACGCUGGCGGCGUGCUUAACACAUGCAAGUCGAACGGAAAGGCCCUGCUUUUGUGGGUUGCUCGAUUGGCGAACGGGUGAGUAACACGUGAGUAACCUGCCCUUGACUUUGGGAUAACAUCAGGAAACUGGGGCUAAUACCGGAUAGGAUCUCCUGCUGCAUGGUGUGGGUUGGAAAGUUUCGGCGGUUGUGGAUGUACUCGCGGCUUAUCAGCUUGUUGGUGUGGUAGUGGCUUACCAAGGCUUUGACGGGUAGCCGGCCUGAGAGGGUGACAGGCUACAUUGGGCUUGAGAUAGGGCCCGGACUGAUACGGGCGGAAAGAGUGGGGAAUAUUGCACAAUGGGCGGAGGGCUGAUGGAGCAACGCCGCGUGCGGGAGGACGGCUUUCGGGUUGUAAAAAGCUUUCGACUGUGACGACGCGUGAGUGCGGGAAUGGGUCAAGAAGCACCGGCUAACUACGUG